rnacentral:misc_RNA from 1 species
AGCACUGUUAUAUUUUUUUUGGCAUAGAUGCAUGAACUGGUUGAUGGUGGAACUUGUCACCUUUAUAAUCUUACUUUUGUGAGUAACAAACAUUUGCUAGUUUAUUAAAAUCAAUUUGGUUAAUAAUAGAUAUUGUAUAAAAUGCUUUUGGGUACUCUUUGAAUCAAAAAAAAAAUAUAACAGUGCUUACAAAAUUGAGGAAGGUGAACUAGUGAAGUAAAUCCUAUAAUAUGUGCACCUGCAAAGAAUCAUCAAUGCCUUUCUUGCCGAACUCGGGAAUUAUGGGUCUCUUCAAUAUGUCGGGUAAGCAGUGAAAUCCCAUAAUGUGAGGCACUUGAAGCAGCAUAAUAGGAUGUCACUGUGAGUUGAGCAAACUUUGGAAGUGCAUAACCUCCAAAUGCAGCACUUGCACCUGAAACCACUAGCAGGGGAGGAAGCCCAACUACAAAAGGCAGCCAUUUUGGUCCCUUGAGACGAUUUUGAAGGAAUGGGAUCCCUGUAUUGAAACCAUGAACAGCACUAAGCAUUCCACCAAUACCCGACCCAGCCACGGCAGUGGCAUCAUGUAAAACGGAAGUAAUAGUCCAUUCUCCCUUUCCAGAAUUAGGGAUUAAUAGAGAGAGACAGCGAGGGCAGCGAGGGGAACCGAGGCCAGGGUUGAUGGUGGGAUCAUGAUGCAGAUUCCCAGUCCUUAAUUUCUGCUCGUACACCUCCCGAGUUCCCAUCUUCGUAUAUGCGGUUUCAGUUCCUGUGUGCUCUGUUAUAGUAGUUCAACUCCAACACAA